GCAGUACAAAGAAGAAGGAUGCAGUUAGAUGCCAAGCCGGCCAUUUUCCAUCCUUUUCCCAGGAGGCCUCCCAAAACUUCAUACCACUGAAAGCCAGUGUCUCGAGAGGCUGGUGGUCAUAUAACAGCUCCAGCACCCGAGAAGCCCAUACACGAGCUGGAACAGUAUACCCGGCACCAUUCCCAUUUGAGCAAAAGAGUAAGGGAGCGUGAGGAGAACUUGGGCGACCUGAAAGUUUGACCUGAAAAAGGUCGAGAGAUCUUCAGAGCAUUUACCUGUGCUGUGCAAGCAGUAAGCCACGCAUCAAACGAGGAUCCACCUCUGAAGAA